CUUCACUGUUACAAGUUCACAUAGCUGUUGUGCACUCCAGGCUACAUGUUUUCUCCUCCCUUUUUGGCAAGACCUAAAGUGAAUGGAAUACUCCUUUAAUCAGAGAACAGCUAAUGGUAACUCUGAUGGAGCUGAAAAGAUCAACAGCUAAGGCAGGAGAGUCUGUCCCUUUGUAACAGAGUUUGGCUAUUCCUCACCCAAUAUUAAGCCCACUACACAGCAGUUUCAGUUUCAAGGUGCAACCAGGAUUGCCAACAUGAAGGCCAGAAUUCAUUCCACGGAUCACUUGUUACGGUUUCCUCCAGAAACUUUUACAGAAAGAAUUUGCUGACUUUCAGUGUAAAAUUACAUUAAAAAAAAUGAAAAUUGUGGUUUUAGUUUUUUUUUUAGUUGACUACCAUGACACUGUUUC